rnacentral:rRNA from 1 species
GUGAAAAAGAACCUGAAACCGUGUACGUACAAGCAGUGGGAGCCUCUUAAUGGGGUGACUGCGUACCUUUUGUAUAAUGGGUCAGCGACUUAUAUUCUGUAGCAAGGUUAACCGAAUAGGGGAGCCGAAGGGAAACCGAGUCUUAACUGGGCGUUAAGUUGCAGGGUAUAGACCCGAAACCCGGUGAUCUAGCCAUGGGCAGGUUGAAGGUUGGGUAACACUAACUGGAGGACCGAACCGACUAAUGUUGAAAAAUUAGCGGAUGACUUGUGGCUGGGGGUGAAAGGCCAAUCAAACCGGGAGAUAGCUGGUUCUCCCCGAAAGCUAUUUAGGUAGCGCCUCGUGAAUUCAUCUCCGGGGGUAGAGCACUGUUUCGGCAAGGGGGUCAUCCCGACUUACCAACCCGAUGCAAACUGCGAAUACCGGAGAAUGUUAUCACGGGAGACACACGGCGGGUGCUAACGUCCGUCGUGAAGAGGGAAACAACCCAGACCGCCAGCUAAGGUCCCAAAGUCAUGGUUAAGUGGGAAACGAUGUGGGAAGGCCCAGACAGCCAGGAUGUUGGCUUAGAAGCAGCCAUCAUUUAAAGAAAGCGUAAUAGCUCACUGGUCGAGUCGGCCUGCGCGGAAGAUGUAACGGGGCUAAACCAUGCACCGAAGCUGCGGCAGCGACACUAUGUGUUGUUGGGUAGGGGAGCGUUCUGUAAGCCUGUGAAGGUGGCCUGUGAGGGUUGCUGGAGGUAUCAGAAGUGCGAAUGCUGACAUAAGUAACGAUAAAGCGGGUGAAAAGCCCGCUCGCCGGAAGACCAAGGGUUCCUGUCCAACGUUAAUCGGGGCAGGGUGAGUCGACCCCUAAGGCGAGGCCGAAAGGCGUAGUCGAUGGGAAACAGGUUAAUAUUCCUGUACUUGGUGUUACUGCGAAGGGGGGACGGAGAAGGCUAUGUUGGCCGGGCGACGGUUGUCCCGGUUUAAGCGUGUAGGCUGGUUUUCCAGGCAAAUCCGGAAAACCAAGGCUGAGGCGUGAUGACGAGGCACUACGGUGCUGAAGCGACAAAUGCCCUGCUUCCAGGAAAAGCCUCUAAGCAUCAGGUAACAUCAAAUCGUACCCCAAACCGACACAGGUGGUCAGGUAGAGAAUACCAAGGCGCUUGAGAGAACUCGGGUGAAGGAACUAGGCAAAAUGGUGCCGUAACUUCGGGAGAAGGCACGCUGAUAUGUAGGUGAAGCGACUUGCUCGUGGAGCUGAAAUCAGUCGAAGAUACCAGCUGGCUGCAACUGUUUAUUAAAAACACAGCACUGUGCAAACACGAAAGUGGACGUAUACGGUGUGACGCCUGCCCGGUGCCGGAAG